CCUACGGGGGGCAGCAGUGGGGAAUAUUGCACAAUGGGGGAAACCCUGAUGCAGCGACGCCGCGUGAGCGAGGAAGUAUUUCGGUAUGUAAAGCUCUAUCAGCAGGGACGAAAAACGACGGUACCUGACUACGAAGCCCCGGCUAACUACGUGCCAGCAGCCGCGGUCAUACGUAGGGGGCAAGCGUUAUCCGGAUUUACUGGGUGGAAAGGGAGCGUAGACGGCAAGGCAAGCCAGAAGUGAAAGGGCAGGGCUCAACCCUGUACAUGCUUUUGGAACUGUGGUGCUAGAGUGCAGGAGAGGUAAGUGGAAUUCCUAGUGUAGCGGUGAAAUGCGUAGAUAUUAGGAGGAACACCAGUGGCGAAGGCGGCUUACUGGACUGUAACUGACGUUGAGGCUCGAAAGCGUGGGGAGCAAACAGGAUUAGAUACCCGGGUAGUC
rnacentral:rRNA from 1 species